UAGACAUUCAAGCAACAGUUCACUUUCUCCACUUGCUCAGAGCAUUUCAUCUAUUUUUGUUUAGCAGGUUAAGUUUUUCUUUCAUCUUUCACUUCUAUUUCUCACUGGAACAGAUGGUACAGGAUAUCUGUUAGUGUGGUAGUGCACACAAAUCUCUAUGAUAGUAGUUAAAGGUAAUAACACAGUAUGCAAAAUAUUGACAGAG